rnacentral:rRNA from 1 species
UACGUAGGGUGCGAGCGUUGCCCGGAUUUAUUGGGCGUAAAGGGCGCGUAGGCGGCUCGGCACGUCCGUUGUGAAAUCGCUCGGCUCAACUGGGCGGGGUCAGCGGAUACGGCGUGGCUGGAGCAAGCUAGGGGGCAAUGGAAUUCCCGGUGUAGUGGUGGAAUGCGUAGAUAUCGGGAGGAACACCAGUGGCGAAGGCGGUUGCCUGGAGCUUUGCUGACGCUGAGGCGCGAAAGCGUGGGGAGCGAUCCGG